rnacentral:rRNA from 1 species
UACGUAGGGUGCGAGCGUUAAUCGGAAUUACUGGGCGUAAAGUGUACGCAGGCGGUUUGUUAAGUCUGCUGUGAAAUCCCCGGGCUCAACCUGGGAAUGGCAGUGGAUACUGGCAAGCUAGAGUGUGUCAGAGGAUGGUGGAAUUCCCGGUGUAGCGGUGAAAUGCGUAGAGAUCGGGGAGGAACAUCAGUGGCGAAGGCGGCCAUCUGGGACAACACUGACGCUGAGGCACGAAAGCGUGGGGAGCAAACAGG